GGGGGGGGCAAGCGUUGUUCGGAAUUACUGGGCGUAAAGGGCUCGUAGGCGGCCAACUAAGUCAGACGUGAAAUCCCUCGGCUUAACCGGGGAACUGCGUCUGAUACUGGAUGGCUAGAGAUUGGGAGAGGGAUGCGGAAUUCCAGGUGUAGCGGUGAAAUGCGUAGAUAUCUGGAGGAACACCGGUGGCGAAGGCGGCAUCCUGGACCAACACUGACGCUGAGGAGCGAAAGCCAGGGGAGCAAACGGGAUUAGAUACCCCGGUAGUCCUGGCCCUAAACGAUGAAUGCUUGGUGUGGCGGGUAUCGAUCCCUGCCGUGCCGAAGCUAACGCAUUAAGCAUUCCGCCUGGGGAGUACGGUCGCAANANNNG
rnacentral:rRNA from 1 species